rnacentral:rRNA from 1 species
GGCGAACGCUGGCGGCAGGCUUAACACAUGCAAGUCGAGCGGGCACUUUCGGGUGUCAGCGGCGGACGGGUGAGUAACGCGUGGGAACGUGCCCUCUGGUUCGGAAUAACUCAGGGAAACUUGAGCUAAUACCGGAUACGCCCUUUUGGGGAAAGGCUUGCUGCCGGAGGAUCGGCCCGCGUCUGAUUAGCUAGUUGGUGAGGUAACGGCUAACCAAGGCGACGAUCAGUAGCUGGGCUGAGAGGAUGAUCAGCCACACUGGGACUGAGACACGGCCCAGACUCCUACGGGAGGCAGCAGUGGGGAAUAUUGGACAAUGGGCGCAAGGCUGAUCCAGCCAUGCCGCGUGAGUGAUGAAGGCCUGAGGGUUGUAAAGCUCUUUUAUCCGGGACGAUAAUGACGGUACCGGAGGAAUAAGCCCCGGCUAACUUCGUG